rnacentral:lncRNA from 1 species
UUUGGGGGCCAAAUAUGGGUUUAGGGGCUUCGGAGGAGCCGGAUCUGAAGUUUUCCCCAUUUUCGGCCAACGCAGACGAUGGUGCCGGCGCCAGAGAUUGGUGGCCGAUGAUCGGCCGAUGAUCGGGCCUUGGCCGAAGAGCUGGAGAGGGGGAGAGCUUUUUCAGAGGUUUUUUUUUGUUUUUUUUUAAAAAAAGUGUUUAAAAUGAUUUUUUGUAGGGUUAGUGGUUUAUAUAGACGCCCAAAACGGCGUCGUUUUGGGGCAGAGGCCGACCCGACCCGGCCUAUGAUCCGCGUGUUUUUGAGCGGAGGGGCAAAUUGCACUUUUAGCCCCUCCGCCUUUUAAU